rnacentral:rRNA from 1 species
GUGGGGAAUUUUGGACAAUGGGGGCAACCCUGAUCCAGCCAUCCCGCGUGUGCGAUGAAGGCCUUCGGGUUGUAAAGCACUUUUGGCAGGAAAGAAAUCGCACGGGAUAAUACCUCGUGUGGAUGACGGUACCUGCAGAAUAAGCACCGGCUAACUACGUGCCAGCAGCCGCGGUAAUACGUAGGGUGCAAGCGUUAAUCGGAAUUACUGGGCGUAAAGCGUGCGCAGGCGGUUCGGAAAGAAAGAUGUGAAAUCCCAGGGCUUAACCUUGGAACUGCAUUUUUAACUGACGGGCUAGAGUGUGUCAGAGGGGGGUGGAAUUCCGCGUGUAGCAGUGAAAUGCGUAGAUAUGCGGAGGAACACCGAUGGCGAAGGCAGCCCCCUGGGAUAACACUGACGCUCAUGCACGAAAGCGUGGGGAGCAAACAGGAUUAGAUACCCUGGUAGUCC